rnacentral:piRNA from 1 species
UAUUAACUCUGUUGUCUGAGGACAGAC